CCCGGGUCUUGUACACACCGCCCGUCACACCAUGGGAGCGGGAUGUACCAGAAGUAGGUAGGCUAACCGCAAGGGGGCCGCUUACCACGGUGCGUUUCGUGACUGGGGUG
rnacentral:rRNA from 1 species